GCCUCCUUAGCUCAGUGGUAGAGCGCGUCACUAGUAGUGCGAUCCGGGUUGGCUUGGACCGUCAUGACGAGGUCAGUCGUUCAAAUCGGCUAGGAGGCA
rnacentral:tRNA from 1 species